UACGGGGGGGGUAAGCGUUGUUCGGAAUUACGGGGCGUAAAGGGCUCGUAGGCGGCCAACUAAGUCAUACGUGAAAUCCCUCAGCUUAACUGGGGAACUGCGUGUGAUACUGGAUGGCUUGGAUUUGGGAGAGGGAUGCGGAAUUCCAGGUGUAGCGGUGAAAUGCGUAGAUAUCUGGAGGAACACCGGUGGCGAAGGCGGCAUCCUGGACCAAUAUUGACGCUGAGGAGCGAAAGCCAGGGGAGCAAACGGG
rnacentral:rRNA from 1 species